CCCGCCCCCGCGCGCGGCCUCAGGCCCCCUCACCCAGUCACUCUCGUCUCCCUUCGCCUUCAGCCUUCAAAAAACCCUAGCCUCCACAGGACCACUCUCGUCUCUCUCUCCCUGCGACAGUCCCCCCGACUCUCGUCUCUCUCUCGCCGAGUCGCCGCGCGACGUCACCCUGACCCAGUAACUACCCCCGUAGGCCGCGGUCGACACGCUUGUUGCCAAAUCCUGCUUCGAGCCUCAAUCUUAAACUCAAACUUCGGUGAAUUUGAUUUUGAUUUCUCCUCAGUUUUAAUUAACACAUUAACAAGAUGCCCCGAAGGCCGACAAGGCAUUGCCGCUCAUUGAAUCCUCAGCCUCUGACCUUCUCCUCUUUUUCCCGUUCUGUUGCUCAAGUAGCCUCAUCUUUCAAGGCCAAGCGGCGAACGCAACACUCCAAACAACACAGAGAAUCUCCCCCAAAAUCUGCAGUUAAUGGGUUUUCGAAUAAUACUUUGGAAGAGAGGAGAGAACAGUCUGUGUCUUCUGAUGAAGAAGAGUUUGAAGGUGUGGUUCAAGCCGAUUUUGCAUUCUUCGAUCCCAAAGCCAACGACUUUCAUGGAGUGAAGACUUUGUUGCAAACCUACCUUGAUGAUAAGCAGUGGGAUUUGAGUGGUUUUGUUGACUUAAUAUUGGGACAGACCACGGUGGGGACUGUAGUUAAAAUAGAGGAUGACGAAGAUGAAGGAGUUUUUUCUCUCGUGACUGCACUAAACAUGCGAAGAUACAAGGACCAUAAAUGUAUCAUGGAACUCAAGGAGUUCCUCCUUAAAGCAUGCCAGGAGAAGGAUGUACAAGAUAACUUGAUAUCACUCUUGGGAGAGCAAGCACAGUAUGUGGGUCUCAUGGUCUCUCAGCGCGUGGUGAAUCUUCCUCCCCAGCUAUUGCCACCUCUUUAUGAUGCCCUCUUUGAUGAAGUCUCGUGGGCUACAGAAGAUGAGCCCACGGAAGAGCUCAAGAAUUCCUUCAGCUUUAAGUUUUAUAUACUUGUCAGUAAAAUUUACAAGAACAAGAAUGCAAAUAAGAAAAAGAAGCUGAGCAGUGACAGUGAUGAGGCAAUAAUAUAUACAAAGCCAGAAGAUGAAAUUUUCCACAGGCUUAGCUUGUGGUCCUUCUGCUUUCCUUUGCAGACUCAGCAGCCUGCAACUCUUGAGCUCAGAAAUUAUCGAUUUAUGGGAUUAGUCAUGGCUAUUGAAGCUGACAAAAUUUCUACAUUUCGCCAAGAGUUGAAAUCCUUAAUAAAUGAAUCUUGAGGCCAGCAAAAUAUGUACAAUAUUUCUUUUAGUUUAAAAGCUUUCAUUUACCUCUUUCCAUUUUUCUUGUAGCAUGGGGGAUUUUGUUCCAGGAUUUUCACCCAAUUUUGUAGUCACGGCAAGUAGACCUGAUUUACAACACAUUGUGAGAACUGAGAAUUCUUUUCUUGAUCCCCUUGGCUUUUGAACUUCAA